ensembl:lncRNA
CCAGAGUCCUAUACAGACCCUUCGAGACCAUAUCCAGCUUUAAAGUGUUGGUCAAUUCACGAGUACGAUAGCAGUCUUCCCCCACACCAAAGGAGAACCGCUGAACCACUAAUGACGGAACGUUGAUUUCCAGUAAACUGGCCCUCGCUGCACAUGCAAUGCGAGACUCACUGGUAACAGCUCAUCUACAAGUUCCUCUCAAGCUGAACAACAGAACACCGCUCUCUGCUAUCACCUGGGUGGUGCAGUGGCAUGGAUCCUGUCCAAUAACAGUCAGCAGAGCCUGGCCCACCUGUUUAUGUGGGACACCCAAGGAUGUAGCUGUGUGGAACCUGGCUCUUGGGCUCCCCCUUGAUAUGACUCUAAAAGAGAGAGUCUGGCUUCAGCAGCACUUCACUCAGUCUUAUAACAAGGAACUAAAUUAUAGAAGCAAUGGCCCACCCACGUCACUACUAAAGCACAGGAAGCAUAUUCUGGCCCCUGUUGUGAACAGAGCUGCCGCUUUGGGCAACAAGGGGAGCGAGUCUUGCUGAGUUGAACCUUCCAUUGAUCAUCAGUGUUUAGGAGUAAUGCGACCCUGUUACUACCCAUGCGGGCAGAUGAGAGAACAGUCCUCUUAGGUAUACUUGGAGAGGGGCUAACUGUAUGUGCAGUGGGGUCUUCUGGUCAUCAGCCCAUUUUGGACUACCCCUCUGAGGAAUGCCAUUGACAGAACGCCAGUAAGCUCUUCAGCUCUAUGGACCCUGAUCUGUUUUUGUCAUGUUCAUUUGACAACAGAGUAUUCAGAGAUUAAACACACACACACAGAGACUGCAUAUUGUAGUUAGAAAAUGAUAUUUUAUUCGAAGUCAGUUGUGUUUAUUCAAACAUAACUACAGUACCAGUGAGUGGUUUUCUCAUUAAGAUAGGCCGCAUUGUUUUUUGCAACAGUGUUUUAAGAUAUUCAAAUAAAAUACAAAAACAAUGUGUAUGGUAAACUUAGCAUUUGUAUUUUAUGUGAUUUAAUACAAUCAAUUAAUAUGACAAUUAACUGGAAAUGACAGUUUGUUGUUCAGAAUGUAAAAUAGUUGAUCAUUUAUUUUUUUCCUUAUGUGUUGAUAAUAUGUCUCCAGACUGUAUCAUUUAGGGAAUGCCAUGCCUUUGUGUCAGAUGUGGGACCAACAACAUCAUCAUAAAGUAACAUACAACACAGUUAGCUGGUGAUUCAGUGCAUAUCAGCCUAUGCUACACGGUCACCUUUGCAAUCAAAUCCGUAUUUGUCCCUCAGUUUUCUUUUUAGUGUAGCCUGAUGCUUUUAUGUGAAUAAUUACCACAAAUGAAUGUAUUUUCUGAGAAUAUGUCAAGUAAAUUAUGAUUGUCAGAUAAGUACAAUGAAACAAAUUUUGGGAGGUUUUAAUAUUUUUUUUUGUAACAUUC